rnacentral:rRNA from 1 species
CGAACGGGUGAGUAACGCGUGACCAACCUGCCCCAUGCUCCAGAAUAGCUCUUGGAAACGGGUGGUAAUGCUGGAUGCUCCAACUUGACGCAUGUCUUGUUGGGAAAGUGUUUAGUGGCAUGGGAUGGGGUCGCGUCCUAUCAGCUUGUAGGCGGGGUAAUGGCCCACCUAGGCUUCGACGGGUAGCCGGCCUGAGAGGGCGGACGGCCACAUUGGGACUGAGAUACGGCCCAGACUCCUACGGGAGGCAGCAGCA